GUCUGCUGUGAAAUCCCUGGGCUCAACCUGGGAAUGGCGGUGGAUACUGGCUUGCUGGAGUACGGCAGAGGAAGGUGGAAUUCCCGGUGUAGCGGUGAAAUGCGUAGAGAUCGGGAGGAACAUCAGUGGCGAAGGCGACCUUCUGGGCCAGUACUGACGCUGAGGCACGAAAGCGUGGGGAGCAAACAGGAUUAGAUACCCUGGUAGUCCACGCCCUAAACGAUGCGAACUGGAGGUUGGGUGCAACUUGGCACGCAGUCUCGAAGCUAACGCGUUAAGUUCGCCGCCUGGGGAGUACGGUCGCAAGACUGAAACUCAAAGGAAUUGACGGGGGCCCGCACAAGCGGUGGAGUAUGUGGUUUAAUUCGAUGCAACGCGCAGAACCUUACCUGGCCUUGACAUGUCCGGAAUCCUGCCGAGAUGCGGGAGUGCCUUCGGGAAUCGGAAC
rnacentral:rRNA from 1 species